rnacentral:rRNA from 1 species
UACAGAGGUCCCGAGCGUUGUUCGGAUUCAUUGGGCGUAAAGGGUGCGUAGGCGGCGGGGCAAGUCUGAUGUGAAAUCCCGGGGCUCAACCCCGGAACUGCAUUGGAUACUGCCUUGCUUGAGUACUGGAGAGGGAACUGGAAUUUACGGUGUAGCAGUGAAAUGCGUAGAGAUCAUAAGGAAGGCCAGUGGCGAAGGCGAGUUCCUGGACAGUUACUGACGCUGAGGCACGAAGGCCAGGGGAGCAAACGGG